rnacentral:rRNA from 1 species
UACGGAGGGGGCUAGCGUUGUUCGGAAUUACUGGGCGUAAAGCGCACGUAGGCGGCUUUGUAAGUCAGGGGUGAAAUCCCGGGGCUCAACCCCGGAACUGCCCUUGAGACUGCAUCGCUUGAAUCCAGGAGAGGUGAGUGGAAUUCCGAGUGUAGAGGUGAAAUUCGUAGAUAUUCGGAAGAACACCAGUGGCGAAGGCGGCUCACUGGACUGGUAUUGACGCUGAGGCGCGAAAGCGUGGGGAGCGAACAGG